rnacentral:rRNA from 1 species
CCUACGGGUGGCUGCAGUGGGGAAUAUUGGACAAUGGGGGCAACCCUGAUCCAGCCAUGCCGCGUGUGUGAAGAAGGCCCUCGGGUUGUAAAGCACUUUCAGUGAGGAAGAACGCCUGGUGGUUAAUACCCAUCAGGGAAGACAUCACUCACAGAAGAAGCACCGGCUAACUCCGUGCCAGCAGCCGCGGUAAUACGGAGGGUGCGAGCGUUAAUCGGAAUUACUGGGCGUAAAGCGCGCGUAGGUGGCUUGAUAAGCCGGUUGUGAAAGCCCCGGGCUCAACCUGGGAACGGCAUCCGGAACUGUCAAGCUAGAGUGCAGGAGAGGAAGGUAGAAUUCCCGGUGUAGCGGUGAAAUGCGUAGAGAUCGGGAGGAAUACCAGUGGCGAAGGCGGCCUUCUGGACUGACACUGACACUGAGGUGCGAAAGCGUGGGUAGCAAACAGGAUUAGAUACCCCGGUAGUC